rnacentral:rRNA from 1 species
UACGAAGGGGGCUAGCGUUGCUCGGAAUUACUGGGCGUAAAGCGCACGUAGGCGGCUUUCUAAGUCGGGGGUGAAAUCCUGGAGCUCAACUCCAGAACUGCCUUCGAUACUGGAAAGCUCGAGUCCGGGAGAGGUGAGUGGAACUGCGAGUGUAGAGGUGAAAUGCGCAGAUAUCAGGAAGAACACCUAUGGCGAAGGCAGCUCUCUGGGACGGUACUGACGCUGAGACGCGAAAGCGUGGGGAGCGAACAGG